CCUUUCAGACCACAUCACCGUGAGUUAAGUUUGGGGAUUUUUUAUUUUUUUUAAUACGUUUCACACAAACUGAAGAGUAAAGUAAAUAGUAUGCUUACAACAAAAAAGUCAAAUUGUCUGCUCAGCCUGCAAUUUUUAUAAAUAUGUUGGACUGCUCCUUUAUCAGUGUCUAACAGUAUGUGUAUGAGAGCGAUGUAAUGUCCAUGUGUGCAUGCUGAAAGAGACUGUGCUGGUCUGACCCCCUCCUCCUUUCAGGGUGGAGCCUGCUGGAGUCCGAUGGUUGAGACCAGGUCUGAGGAAGUAUUCCUGUCAACUCACAAUCGACAUAAACACAGUAAACAGAAACCUCAAACUGUCUGAAAACAACAGGAAGGUGAUGUUUGUGUGGGAGAGUCUUCCAUAUCCUGAUCAUCCUGACAGAUUUGAUUGCAUCUGUCCUCAACUGCUGUAUAGAAAUGGUCUGACUGGUCGUUGUUACUGGGAGGUCGAGUGGAGAGGAGGAGUUUAUAUAUCAGUGAGUUACAGAACAAUCAGAAGGAAGGGGAGGACAGGCUGUGUGUUCGGAAAAAAUGAUCAGUCCUGGAGUCUGAGCUGCUCUGAUUAUUGUGGUUACUCUGUGUGGCACAAUAACCAAAAAACAUCCAUCUCCUCCUCCUCUGUCUCUAAGAGAGUAGCAGUGUAUGUGGACUGUCCUGCUGGCACUCUGUCCUUCUACAGAGUCUCUAACACUCUGAUCCACCUCCACACCUUCAACACUACAUUCACUGAACCUCUUUAUCCUGGGUUUACGGUCUCAUUUGGUUCUUCAGUGUGUCUGUGUGUAGUUUAGUAUGAAUAGUCUUCUUGAGCAUUUCAGUCUGUACAUGUCUGCCUUUCUCAGUCAAAAACAUGUUUUCAGAUUCAUGGAUGUUUUAAAUGAUGAUGGAAACUUCAGUUAUUGAAAAAUGGAAUCUAUGAUUAUCCCAGGAUUCUUUUUUUGUAUGUUGUGUUUCUCUGAAGUUUAGUUCAGCUCAUAAUCUUUAUAUAAUACCUCUUCAUUAAAUAACUGUAAUAAUAGCAUGUAAAUUUGGAGACAAAGCUUCUGAAGUAUAACAUUGUUAUUCAGAUUUAUAAAGAAGUAAAUUUCAUGAUACUACAUCAGUGA